AGAGCGCAAGGGGAAUGCCUUGGCAUCAGGAGCCGACGAAGGACGUGACAAGCUGCGAUAAGCCACGGGGAGGAGCAAAUAUCCGUUAUAUCCGUGGAUCUCCGAAUGGGGGAACCCGCUCAAGCAAUACUUGAGCAUCGUGCGUUGAAUCAAAUAGGCGUACGAAGGGAACGGCCUGAACUGAAACAUCUAAGUAGGGCCAGGAAAAGACAUCAACCGAGAUUCCGCUAGUAGUGGCGAGCGAACGCGGAGGAGGCCAAACCGAGGGACGCAAGUUCUUCGGGGUUGCGGACAGACAUCAUGACCAGAGGAAAUUAAGAGAACGGCGUGGGAAAGCCGGCCACAGAAGGUGAGAGCCCUGUAUCUGAAAAUGAAGACUGGCAGUCUGGAUCCAGAGUACCGCGGGACACGUGAAACCCCGUGGGAAACCGGGUGGACCACCAUCCAAGCCUAAAUACUACCUGAUGACCGAUAGAGGAGCAGUACCGUGAGGGAAAGGUGAAAAGGACCCCGGGAGGGGAGUGAAAGAGAACCUGAAACCUUGUGCUUACAAACAGUCAAAGGCCUACGGGCUGAUGGCGUACUUUUUGUAGAACGGUCCGGCGAGUUACUAAUGCCAGCGAGGUUAAGUGGUCAGAAGCCACGGAGCCGAAGGGAAACCAAGUCUGAAUAGGGCGUAGAGUUGGUAUUAGUAGACCCGAAACCGGGUGACCUAUCCAUGUCCAGGUUGAAGGAACCGUAAAAGGUUUUGGAGGACCGAACACACAUGUGUUGAAAAACGUGGUGAUGAGGUGUGGAUAGCGGAGAAAUUCCAAUCGAACUCGGAGAUAGCUGGUUCUCCUCGAAAUAGCUUUAGGGCUAGCCUCGAGCUGGAGUCUAACGGAGGUAAAGCACUGAACUGACGCGGGGCCCAAAAAGGUUACCAACUCAUAUCAAACUAAGAAUGCCGUCAAGAUACCCUCGGGAGUCAGUCUGCGUGAGAUAAGUCGCGUGGACAAAAGGGAAAGAGCCCAGACCGACAGCUAAGGUCCCAAAGUACGUGUUAAGUGGAAAAGGAUGUGGGAUUUCAUAGACAACUAGGAUGUUGGCUUAGAAGCAGCCAUACAUUUAAAGAGUGCGUAAUAGCUCACUAGUCGAGAAAACCUGCGCCGAAAAUGUAACGGGGCUAAAACACGACACCGAAGCUACGGAUUUCCUACAAGGUAGGAAGUGGUAGAGGAGCAUCCUGCAAGGACGAAGCCAAAGUGAGAGCGAUGGUGGACGAAACAGGAGAGAGAAUGCCGGAAUGAGUAGCGAGAUACAUGUGAGAAACAUGUAGGCCGAAUAUCUAAGGAUUCCUGGGUAAAGCUAAUCUUCCCAGGGUUAGUCGGGGCCUAAGGCGAGGACGAAAGUCGUAGUCGAUGGAUAACAGGUUGAUAUUCCUGUACUACACAUAAUCAGAACUGUGGGGACGCAGGAGGAUAGGGAAACCGGGGAAUGGAAAGACCCGGUCAAGCGUAAAGCUGUGGGAGAUAGGCAAAUCCGUCUCCUGUAAGUGAAACGUGAUGAGGACUGAAAAAAAGUAAGGAAGUUUCCGAAUCCACACUGCCGAGAAAAGCCGCUAUUGCGUUAUGUGUACCCGUACCGUAAACCGACACAGGUAGAUGAGGAGAAAAUCCACAGGCCGACGGGAGAAGUGUUGUUAAGGAACUCGGCAAAAUGACCCCGUAACUUCGGGAUAAGGGGAGCCUCGCAAGAGGCCGCAGAAAAGAGGCACAAGCAACUGUUUAGCAAAAACACAGGUCUAUGCGAAACCGUAAGGUGAAGUAUAUGGGCUGACGCCUGCCCGGUGCUGGAAGGUUAAAAGGAGAGGUCAGCGCAAGCGAAGCUUUGAAUUCAAGCCCCAGUAAACGGCGGCCGUAACUAUAACGGUCCUAAGGUAGCGAAAUUCCUUGUCGGGUAAGUUCCGACCCGCACGAAAGGCGUAAUGAUUUGAGCGCUGUCUCGACAAUGCAUCCGGUGAAAUUGAAGUACCAGUGAAGAUGCUGGUUACCUGCGCCAGGACGGAAAGACCCCAUGGAGCUUUACUCCAGCUUGAUACUGGGAUUCGGUAUUGCAUGUACAGGAUAGGUGGGAGGCUAGGAAAUGGUAACGCCAGUUGCCAUGGAGCCACUGUUGGGAUACCACCCUUGCAGUACUGGGUUUCUAACCAGCAGCCGUGACCCGGCUGGGGGACAAUGUCAGGUGGGGAGUUUGACUGGGGCGGUCGCCUCCGAAAGGGUAUCGGAGGCGCUCAAAGGUUCCCUCAGAAUGGUUGGAAACCAUUCGAAGAGUGCAAAGGCAGAAGGGAGCUUGACUGCGACACCGACGGGUGGAGCAGGUACGAAAGUAGGACUUAGUGAUCCGGUGGUAUAAAGUGGGAUUGCCAUCGCUCAACGGAUAAAAGCUACCCUGGGGAUAACAGGCUUAUCACUCCCAAGAGUUCACAUCGACGGAGUGGUUUGGCACCUCGAUGUCGGCUCAUCGCAUCCUGGGGCUGAAGUAGGUCCCAA
rnacentral:rRNA from 1 species